AUUGAACGCUGGCGGCAGGCCUAACACAUGCAAGUCGAGCGGCAGCGGAAAGUAGCUUGCUACUUUGCCGGCGAGCGGCGGACGGGUGAGUAAUGUCUGGGAAACUGCCUGAUGGAGGGGGAUAACUACUGGAAACGGUAGCUAAUUCCGCAUAACGUCGCAAGACCAAAGAGGGGGACCUUCGGGCCUCUUGCCAUCAGAUGUGCCCAGAUGGGAUUAGCUAGUAGGUGGGGUAACGGCUCACCUAGGCGACGAUCCCUAGCUGGUCUGAGAGGAUGACCAGCCACACUGGAACUGAGACACGGUCCAGACUCCUACGGGAGGCAGCAGUGGGGAAUAUUGCACAAUGGGCGCAAGCCUGAUGCAGCCAUGCCGCGUGUAUGAAGAAGGCCUUCGGGUUGUAAAGUACUUUCAGCGGGGAGGAAGGCGUUGUGGUUAAUAACCACAGCGAUUGACGUUACCCGCAGAAGAAGCACCGGCUAACUCCGUGCCAGCAGCCGCAGUAA
rnacentral:rRNA from 1 species